rnacentral:rRNA from 1 species
GACGAACGCUGGCGGCGUGCUUAACACAUGCAAGUCGAACGGAAAGGCCCUGCUUGCAGGGUACUCGAGUGGCGAACGGGUGAGUAACGCGUGGGUGAUCUGCCCUGCACUUCGGGUUAAGCCUGGGCAACUGGGUCUAAUUCCUGCUAGGAGCCAUUUUUAGUGUGAUGGUUGGAAAGUUUUUUCGGUGUUGGAUGAGCUCGCGGCCUAUCGGCUUGUUGGUGUGGUAAUGGCCUACCAAGGCGGCGACGGGUAGCCGGCCUGAGGGGGUGGACGGCCACAUUGGGACUGAGAUACGGCCGAGGCUCCUACGGGUGGGAGCAGGGGGGAAGAUUGCAGAAGGGGCGCAAGCCGGAUGCAGCGAGGCCGCGGGGGGGAUGACGGCCUUCGGGUUGUAAACUCCAUUCGCAAGGGACGAAGCUUGUUGUGACGGUACCUAGAUAAGAAGCACCGGCUAACUACGUG